AGGAGUGGAGCCUGCGGCUUAAUUUGACUCAACACGGGAAACCUCACCAGGCCCGGACACCGGAAGGAUUGACAGAUUGAGAGCUCUUUCUUGAUUCGGUGGGUGGUGGUGCAUGGCCGUUCUUAGUUGGUGGUGCGAAUUGUCUGGUUAAUUCCGAUAACGAACGAGACUCUAGCCUGCUAAAUAGGCGUUAUUCCGGUAUCCUGAAGGCUCGUGUCUCUCGUCUUCUGGCGUGCUUUUGUUGUGGUGUAUCAUCGUUUAGGCGGUGUACAUUGCACUGGGUGCGUUCAGGGCGGGAGUUUCACGGUUUUUACUACCGGCGUACAUAUAAAUCUUCUUAGAGGGACAGGCGGCUUCUAGCCGCACGAGAUUGAGCAAUAACAGGUCUGUAAUGCCCUUAGAUGUUCUGGGCCG
rnacentral:rRNA from 1 species